UGGAGAAACUACAAGGCAUCACAACCACCUCCCACUCCAUAAAGACAAUUAUGACAGUGCUAAAAAGCAUCCCAUCAACCCCUACUAGUUCCGAGAAAUGAUUGGCUACAGAAAACCCUCUGCCCUAACACUGAACCAUGUUUCCUCUUUUGAGAUGUUCCCAAACUGUUUACUUGCCCUCUUGCAGCCAACCAUGGCAACCUGGCAACUAGGUAUUCCAGAGCACUAAUCAAAAAAUCUGCCCACUUCUAAAAAUCCAACUGCCAAGAGCACUUGCCAAUCAGAGAUCAUCUCAGUAUUUCUUCUUUUUGGCCUUGAAAAACUUACGGUCCCUUCUAACACUUUGGAAUCCCUGCUGAAAUGAAAAUGAUGGAGACAGGUACUCUGGCAGUAAGUUUAUAAGUAUAUAGCCUUUGUUAAUUUUGUUGCUCUCUUACUUUUGUCUUUGACAGUUGUCUCAGUGCCACACUUAGAUCCUGCCAGAUCUACCUGUGCUGCAGACUUGGGGGCUCUUGAGCAGGAGCAGUACCCACCCAGGUCCCUUAAACUGCAACUGCUGCUUGUCACCCAAAACAGUGGUGGUAUUAUUUCGCUGUCAACCAGACCAGAAUAUAAAUCAUAUGAUGCCAACACUCAUUACCCAGGAUUCAGAACAGUGUCUAAUAUAUAAUAUGCAGCCUAAUUGGAGAAUCAUCAUGUGUAAUUGGGCCACUCUGGAGAAACUGUCUGUUUUCACUAUUUAGGAGAAAGACGCUCAACCAGAACAUAAAAUAAGGGAGCCUCCAAACUUGCCUAGCCUUAUCCUUGAUGAAGCAAAGCCUGCAGCUUGCCUUGGAGAAGAGGCCAAUGGACAUCAGGACUAUGGAUGAUAAUCUUCCAUGCUCAGAUGCUCUGUCUCAGGCCACGGUAUUUGGCAGAAAUCAGUGAUUUUUCAGAAUGUUGGGAGGGGCCUACAACUGGCACUAGUGUAUUUUUGUCACUUCAAAGCAUCUGUAGACAGUACUUUGCUUUUUCAUACAAAAGUAAGCUUAGUAAUACUUUGCUGCAUUAUAGGUCAGGCUGCCUGCAGACAUAGACCCUUUGCUGCCUUAUUGCCAGUUACAUUAAAUACAGUAUAUGACAAGAUUUAUUAAUACUGCGCUGUAGUUAUCAUCUGUGCGAGCAUAUACAAUGGUCCCCAUGCAGAAAAAAAAGGUUGAAAAGAAAGGUGGUAAGAAGAAGGAGAUGAUUAUGGUGGAAGUUAAAAAGGAAAUCAUUGAGAAGUAUGAACGAGGUAUGCGAGUGGCCGAAAUCAUAAGAUUUUAUAAGAAGUAUAUGUCUGCAUCUUGUCUGCAGAGGAGGAGGAGAAACAGCCAGAGGAAUCCCUCACUUCAAAUGAGAUUAGGGAGAUGUGUAAAAUGUGGGAAACAGUGCAAAAUUUUGUAGAAAAGCACCACCUGAAUAGGACCAUAGCAGUGCGAGCUAUGAAUCUGUUUAACAAUGAUGCAAUGUCACUUUUCUGCAAAAUUCUCAAAAGGAGGCAAAGCAAGUGUCAUUGGAUAGGUUCCUUGUUAAAGUUGCACGAAAAGAAAAUGAUUCAAUGGAACCAAUAGAUUGCAGUGAUUCCAUUGGUGAUCAUGAAAGUCGUCCUACACAAUAACCCUCCUCUUUCUUGUCUCCCUCACACCAGUCAUGAAGGUUUUCAAAGGUAAGUGCAGGUUAAUUUAUUUUUCUUUAUAUUUUGUAUUUUCUUUAUUAUUUUGUAUUA